rnacentral:lncRNA from 1 species
CAUCAGAGUGUGCUCCCACAAACCUUGGUGGUAUAGGCCAGUCACUCAGUGUGCCUCUUGAUUAGUCAAGAUACAAAGCUGCUGUCAGCAUAAAUUUUUUUAAAGUAGGAAUACAUUCUAAAAUAACAAGUGUAGUAAAUACAUAAACCAGUAAUCUAGUCAUUAUCGAGGGUUAUUGUACAUAAUUGUGCUAUUUUACAUGAUUGGCAAAUUGGUGGAUUUGUUUACAUCAGCAUUGGCUGCAGACGAAUGCACACUGCAUUGCCCUGGAUGUUCCAAGAGCUACAGCAUGUUACCAGGUGAUCGUUUUUCACUUCCAUUCGAAUCUUACGAGACGAUGGUAAUAUAUGUAGUCUGCUUGAAAGAAGCAUGUGGUGUGUGACUGUACUCAGACUCCUGUAAUGUAUGGAUACAAAGCUAGGCUUAUUUUGGAAGCAUUUUUAAUCCAAUAGUGGAGGACUACUGCUUGAAGUUAAAGUGAAGAUAUUUCUUGAAUCAGGCCAGAAAUAUCUAAUGUUGAUGGUUUGCUAAAAAAAUGUGAUUACUGUACCAACCCGUGGUUUUGUGUUAUAAUCC